ensembl:lncRNA
CUUUUCCUCACACCCUGCCCAGAAAGGUCUGUCAGCCUAAAAAACAUUGCAGGGAGCCAAAAAAUUUAGGGCCCAUGAUGACAUAGGACAGGACAAGUGGGUGGCACCUGUGGAAACUUGCUCGCACUCAGCUGAGCAAGGAGAAGCUUUGCUGGGUGGUUUCAGAAGAGCCAGUCCUGCUGCUGCUGGGACUCAGCAGGGAUGGAAAGCUGAGGAAACCUCAGCAAGGAGAUGGUGCUUUUCACUGCUUUUGGAAAAGGCAGUGUGCAUUUUCUGAGCUGCCAACCCUGCUCACACCUCUUGGAGAUGUGGGCUGGAUUACUCAGCCAUAGAACUACUGGCAAGUGCAGCAAAAAAAUCGAAGCCCAGCACCAGGAUGGAGCAAGGGAUCUCAGUGCCUUUGGGAUGCAGCUGAAACACUUUUGCAAAAGCCCAUGGAAAAAGCAACAAAGCCUAAAUAUCUGGGAUAGGAAAGCAGGUGCUGGAUGUGCUCCUCACACCCAGCAUGAAGUGCUGGGAAAAAGCAUUGGAGGGGGACUGGAGAGAACUCAUCCUCGUGAGCUGGCCACAUUGUGCUUGAGGCAUAAAGGGCUGCAGGAGAAAACUCCCAGAGAGCUAGUACAUCUUUUUCAUUUGGAUCCUGCUGACACAAAUAACCCCAAGUUUUGGGCUGAAACAUCAGCAGUCACCUCUUUCCAUUGCCGGCCGGCAUGGCAAGCUAAUUUUAACCUCCCAAGCUCCCUCCCAUCUCCUGGAGGUUGUCCUGUUGCAGCCAGGGAGUGCUAAAAAAUAGUGCAUCGCCCACUCAUCCAGCCUCCUUCAAGGGAAAUAUUUACAUGAUGCCAAAGAGAGGGUUUCCAUGGCAGUGAUGACUCUAGCACCGUCGCCUUGGAAACCACUUGAGGCCAUCUUGAAGGGUUUGAAAAUCCCCUUCAGAGACAAAUAAGGAGAGGGAGAGGAAAGGCCACUGGGAUCGGAGUGGCUUUCCAGUCUCCCCUGACUUUCCUGUCAGCUCCUUGCCUGCGUCCCUGCCCAUGCCACUGGGAUGAUUUGUAGUCCAGGUGUUGCUUCAGGGAUAGACCCAGGACAAAGGAACUAAGUGCUUUGCAAAGAGAAAUGGUUCGGCUGGUGCUUCCCCCUGCUUCCCAAACCAUCCGGCAGUGACUCUGGUGUCAGGGCACUGCUCAGCCCCAGAGGAGGCUUCAGGGAGACUCCCCCGCGCCAGCAAACACCAGGGUGAUCACUAGUGCCUGCCCAGCUUCGAGCACCAGCUGCUUUUGGAGCAGCAAAUGCACAAGUCCCAUGUCUUUGACAGCCCAAGUGCCCAUCACACGUGAAGAGCCCCGUGUUUCUUCUGAGGAGCUGCCAAAAUGUGAACCGCAGGCAGGAGACGGCUGCUGGCACGGCUGCUGGCACCAGAGCGCUCGCCUGUGGCGGAGGAAGGAACGCACCUUCCUCUGUGUCACGCACUUCCCAGGCUCAGCCCCCGCAUCCCGUGUUCAGCUCCCACAUCCCGUGGUUCAGCCGACCGAGCGCCUUUGGCCACUUAUGCUCCCAGCCUGCAGGAGCUCUGUCACCGGCAGCCAGUCCAUCUGGCUCUCAAGGACACCAAGAACACGGCAGGGAGAGCAAAGCUUUCUGAGCAGAUGGAUGGCGAGCUCCACGAUGCAGCUGGCAGCGGCAGGGGUGGCCAGUGUCGCUGUUUGUUCAAGUUACGGGAUUGCUUUCUUUGGGGUUUUGCUGAAAAAAACAUUAGUUGUUUACCUCAUUUUGUUUAGGGCAAUCU